ensembl:lncRNA
UUCGGGGUUCUGAUGUAGCCACCAGAUAUUCAAGCCAAGAAUGUUGUCCAUUAGUCACUGUUUGCAAAGAUAAAAAAACAAAAAAACAAAAAAAAAAACAACCACUUUUAAUGAAAGUUUGUGUUCAGUCUUUUUUUGAUGUAAGCUUUUCUUUUUAAAUCUGCUCCAAUGUGAUUGGUCAGUUGAACUUGAACUAGAAACUAGCUACAACAGGUAACCAGUCAGCUCAAGAAGCAAAUAAUCUUGUCCCUUUCCUACCAAUUCUGAAAUACCGGAUAAUUCUGUUCAUAGAAUUUAUAGUUUAGCUAACUUUCAUCACUGUAAUCCCAAUAAAAAAGAAAUUAAAAAAUGUUUUAUGUGGCGUUCAGAGGGCAAAACAUUUGAAAUAAUUUGAUUAUUUACUGUAAAAAAAAAAAAAAGAAAAAAGGGGGGAAAAAAACCUGUAAAAAAAAAAAAAAAUUAAAAAAAAUUCUGUAACAUGUAGGUUGCAGCUGGUGAACUGAGAAUAUCUGCCUCUUUUAGAUGUCCAGCCUCAGCAAAUAUACUUGCAUGCUUCACCAGGGUCAGUGUAAAAUUUUAAUUUCAGCAGCACAACAGAUACACCCACACGCUUGGUAUCGCUGUGCUCAGACAUUUCUUGCUUAAUUUCCAGUAAUGCUCUCCAAGCCUGCAGAUGAAAUUCAAAUCUUUGCAAAAAUUGAGGCAUAUUUUCACAUUUGUACCUGCGAUUUCCAUUGCAGAUUGCAGUUGCCUUGGCUAAUGUUUGGCACCUGGCUAAUCUGUUUAAAGAACAUCCCCUGUAACAAAUCAGCCAACUGGGGGUGUCAAGAGGACAGGGCUGCGGUGGCAAAGGAGAAAGUGACUAUUUUCCUCAUUC